rnacentral:rRNA from 1 species
CGAACGCUGGCGGCGCGUUUAAGCAUGCAAGUCGAGCGGCAAGGGCCUUCGGGCCCCUAGAGCGGCGGACGGGUGAGUAACACGUGGACAAUCUGCCCCCCGGCCCGGGAUAGCCCAGGGAAACCUGGAUUAAUACCGGAUGAGACGGGACCCGCGAAGGCGGGACCCGGAAAGGCGCUGCGGCGCCGGCGGGGGAUGAGUCUGCGUCCCAUUAGCUAGACGGCGGGGUAACGGCCCACCGUGGCGACGAUGGGUAGCCGGCCUGAGAGGGUGGACGGCCACAUUGGAACUGAGACACGGUCCAGACUCCUACGGGAGGCAGCAGCUAAGAAUCUUCCGCAAUGGGCGAAAGCCUGACGGAGCCGACGCCGCGUGAACGAAGAAGGCCGUGAGGUUGUAAAGUUCUUUUCGGGAGGGGGAACAACCGUGGCAGGGAAUGGCCGCGGGAUGACGUGAAUCCCGGAAUAAGCCCCGGCUAACUACGUGCCAGCCGCCGC